rnacentral:lncRNA from 1 species
UUUCUAGUUCUUUCUUACAGCUCUUUCCUCUCCGACAUAUAGUCAAAACUCAAAACUAUGAAACUGUGUCAUUUUGCUACAAGAUGCAAGAUAUUUCUUUAGCUUAAGCCUUCUCUUAUCAAUAGUUAUUAUCCUUAAAGCACAUAUAUAUACUCAAGCACAUAUUAUAUAUUCAAAGUAAACAUAAAAAGUUUAACGGAGGUAAAACACUCACCUUGAAGCCUCGUUCGUCUACUUACUUGUAAUUGUAGGCAUAAUAGACAAGUUGACAUUUUCUUAGUGUCUCUACACUGCAACGAAUCUUUGGUAGACAUUUUACUAAAGGAAUUCUUGGUUCUUUCCUAGGAGUAUCAUUUUCUUGAAAAAGUAUUGGUCAUAUUGCCCAAACAGGUAUACAUAACUUCCUUCUAAAAUACAUCAAUCCAUUAUUUUCAAACUCCUCAACUGUAUUAAUCAGAACCCCAUCUCAGUUUUUUCAAAGUGAAAGAUUUUUCAUCUGAAAAAC